CCUACGGGUGGCAGCAGUGGGGAAUAUUGGACAAUGGGGGCAACCCUGAUCCAGCCAUACCGCGUGUGUGAAGAAGGCCCUCGGGUUGUAAAGCACUUUCAGUGAGGAAGAACGCCUGGUGGUUAAUACCCAUCAGGAAAGACAUCACUCACAGAAGAAGCACCGGCUAACUCCGUGCCAGCAGCCGCGGUAAUACGGAGGGUGCGAGCGUUAAUCGGAAUUACUGGGCGUAAAGCGCGCGUAGGUGGCUUGAUAAGCCGGUUGUGAAAGCCCCGGGCUCAACCUGGGAACGGCAUCCGGAACUGUCAAGCUAGAGUGCAGGAGAGGAAGGUAGAAUUCCCGGUGUAGCGGUGAAAUGCGUAGAGAUCGGGAGGAAUACCAGUGGCGAAGGCGGCCUUCUGGACUGACACUGACACUGAGGUGCGAAAGCGUGGGUAGCAAACAGGAUUAGAUACCCUUGUAGUC
rnacentral:rRNA from 1 species